AGUGGCAACACUCCUGGAGCCAUUUGAUGAGAGUUUGCCUGACAAAAGUGGAGUAGCAUCAGCUAAAAGUGUUGAAGAAGAAGCUUUUGAUGCUGAAAAUGAUGCGAGCGGGAUUGCCAGGUGCAGAAAGAGUUUUACCAAGCAUGGCGGAUGAUGGUGGUGCAGCAAGAUGCCACUAACAUUGAAUUAGGGAUGAGCUACUGAUUAAUAUAUUGGUAUCCCAUUGAUUAAUUAGUGGGGGUAGAUGUUUUCUACAAUGUUCAUUAAUGAUGAACUUUGCCUCAUCCAAGAGUAUGUAAGAUUUUUUUUUGGAAAAUCAGAUGUAUCAUGCAAUUUUUUAAAUGGAAGCAUUGAUGAAACGUCAGCGUAUGCUGUCAUACUAUCUUACCACCGGAAAAUAUAUGAAAUUUAUUUGGGUUGUUAGCAUUUC